AACGAACGCUGGCGGCAGGCCUAACACAUGCAAGUCGAGCGCGCCCUUCGGGGUGAGCGGCGGACGGGUGAGUAACGCGUGGGAACGUGCCCUUUUCUACGGAAUAGCCUCGGGAAACUGAGAGUAAUACCGUAUACGCCCUUUGGGGGAAAGAUUUAUCGGAAAAGGAUCGGCCCGCGUUGGUUUAGGUAGUUGGUGGGGUAAUGGCCUACCAAGCCGACGAUCCAUAGCUGGUUUGAGAGGAUGAUCAGCCACACUGGGACUGAGACACGGCCCAGACUCCUACGGGAGGCAGCAGUGGGGAAUCUUAGACAAUGGGGGCAACCCUAAUCUAGCCAUGCCGCGUGAGUGAUGAAGGCCUUAGGGUUGUAAAGCUCUUUCAGCUGGGAAGAUAAUGACGGUACCAGCAGAAGAAGCCCCGGCUAACUCCGUG
rnacentral:rRNA from 1 species